CUACCCAAUAGCAAGAUUAUUUUUGAUGAUCAGAAGUCUUGUCUUGCCCUAAGAAUGGAAGGAUUGUGAACAACUAUCUGUGAAGAAAUGCAGUGCCAACAGGGUAAAUUCAAUACGAUUACUACGAGCAUAAUUUCAACUGACUUCUAUGAAGAAGAUUUCACAGUCACCUGAAGCAACAGCCUGCAGCUGUCAUUAUGGAAAGCCCCCAAAAAGAGCUUGGAAAAUCUUGGGAGGAUUUCUUCAAUCUUAUGUAGCAUUAGAAACCAAGAAGGGCUUAAUCUAUUGACAUUUUAAACUCUUACUACCCAGAUUUCUCAUUCAUUGUUCAUUUUACAUUCUUAUGAGCUUCAUUUCAACAGUGCUUAAAAAUUGCUGCAUAUUCUUAAGCCACUAAAACAGAUGCAAAUUGAGAUGUGGGAUUUCUGGGCUUUAAAAGUAGUUGCAAAACUGUUUUUUAGAAAUGGAUCCCAUACUAACAAGGGAUACAAAUCAAUGCAUCAAGAGAAACUAGAAUACAAUAUGGUGUGGCUCACAAUUAGAAAAUAUGAGUUUACUUCAUUUUGUUUCUAUCUAAAUCAAUCCUGAAAACUUCACUGAUUGUAUGACUCUCUUCUUUUCAAUGUAUCAUUUAAAGGACAGACACAUUGAUGGAAAAUAAAUGGAUGAAGAUGGGCUUUGUGAAUCCCAGAUCUUACUGUUGGUAUGUUUAUAAACACAAGCAGGUGAAGGUUACAGUCUAGCAUUUAU
rnacentral:lncRNA from 1 species